CCUACGGGUGGCUGCAGUGAGGAAUAUUGGUCAAUGGUCGGGAGACUGAACAAGCCAAGCCGCGUGAGGGAGGAAGGUACAGAGUAUCGUAAACCUCUUUUGUCAGGGCACAAAGACUGGGACGCGUCCCCGGAUGAGUGUACCUGAAGAAAAAGCAUCGGCUAACGCCGUGCCAGCAGCCGCGGUAAUACGGAGGAUGCGAGCGUUAUCCGGAUUUAUUGGGUUCAAAGGUUGCGCGGGCGGUCUGGUAAGUCAGCGGUAAAAGCCCGGGGCGCAACCCCGGCCCGCCGUUGAAACUGGCAGUCUCGAGUUGGAGAGAAGUAUGCGGAAUGCGCGGGGUAGCGGUGAAAUGCAUAGAUAGCGCGCAGAACUCCGAUUGCGAAGGCAGCAUGCCGGCUCCACACUGAUGCUGAGGCACGAAAGCGUGGGUAUCGAACAGGAUUAGAUACCCUGGUAGUC
rnacentral:rRNA from 1 species